UCCCAGCUAGCUCAGUCGGUAGAGCAUGAGACUAUUAAUCUCAGGGUCGUGGGUUCAUGCCCCAUGUUGGGCA